UAUGUGCUCAUUGAGUGCUUGUGUUUCUUGUAUGAGUUGGCUAGUCAGGAUCUCUGUCCAUUUUUCUCCUGCGGCCUUUGUUAGCAGAAUUAAAUUUUUUUCUCGACCACUCCUCACCAGCCAAGUAAGCAUGAGUUCCAUCCACCCAGAGCCUCAGACUAUGCAUCACUAAAGCGAGAAAUGUAGACCUGAGAAUCCCCAGGUCCUUAGAGGCCUGUGGAGGUCCUCUGAUUCUAGAAUUUACUUCCUUUCGCCCCAGAAGUAAGUGUUAGGAAGGAAAACUUCAGAGCAGUGUGAAAGAAGGAAAUGGGGGACCCUACUUAUUUGGGGGCCAUGGAAGUCAGCAGCUCUGAGAGGGGAGCUGAGCAUGAGGAGCAAGGGGAGCAAGGGGAGACAUGAGCAUGAGUAGAAGUGGCCAAUUGCAGCACAGAAUAAGGGCAGGAUGAGGGUUGGCAGGGACCUUCAGGGGAACUGGUGCCAGGCACCGAAGGUAUGAGAGCCUCUGACCAGCUGGGAAACAGUUUCUAGAAAUUUCCAACACUGGCAGAAACCAAGAUACUGGCUUGGGGUAAAAGAAAGAAAGCCCAGUAGGACCCAAGGAAGAGGAAACUGGUAAGCUAUGGAAAGGCCAUCAAGAUCUAUCCACGUGGAAUAGGAAUCAGUGAAUUCAUCUCAACAAAGAAACCAGGGAGUAAACCAGGAGUCUGUGACAUCCACAUGCAGGAAGCCUGUGACAUCACCUGAAAUAGCAAGGUUGGCAUUCUCAAGCAAUUUCCAGGAUUUGCUGAAUUUAGCUAGAAGGAGACUGGGCAGCUCUGGGUGUGCUGACCAAUCAAAAUUCUGGACAUGGGGGAGACCCCAAAUAAUGGGAAACCACCCAAGUACUGCUGUUCAGCAAGACUUUGAGGUGAACUUCCUGGACAACAUUUCCGAGACUUCAGGUCCUCCAACUGCAGGAU